rnacentral:rRNA from 1 species
AGAAUCAACGCUGGCGGCGUGCCUAACACAUGCAAGUCGCACGAGAAAAGGUCUUCGGAUCUGAGUAAAGUGGCGCACGGGUGAGUAACACGUGAAUGAUCUACCCUCGAGUGGGGAAUAACUGGGAGAAAUCCUGGCUAAUACCGCAUAACACUUACGAGUCAAAGCCGCAAGGCGCUUGGGGAGGAGUUCGCGGCCGAUUAGCUAGUUGGCGGGGUAAUGGCCCACCAAGGCGAUGAUCGGUA